rnacentral:tRNA from 1 species
GGCCCUAUCGUCUAACGGUUAGGACAGGUCCCUCUCAAGGACCAAAUCCGGGUUCGAUUCCCGGUAGGGUCA